UUACAUAUGCUUGUCUUUAAUAUUGACCCAUGCAUGUGCCAGUUCAGUAUUGAACAGCGAAACUGCGAAUGGCUCAUUAAAACAGUUAUAGUUUAUUUGAUAGCUAAAGAUUACAUGGAUAACCGAGCUAAUUGUUGGGCUAAUACAUGCUUCGCCCUGCGGGUGCCCGGCCAUCCGCAGCGUAUUUAUUAGAUAUUAGACCAAUCGCGCUCCCCCUCCCUUCGCGGGCGGGGGGCGGCGUGAUUGAGAUGAAUCAAAGUAACUGAUCGAAUCGCAGCCCCCGGCUGCGAUAAAUCAUCUAAGUUUCUGCCCUAUCAGCUCUCGAUGGUAGUGUAUUGGACUACCAUGGCAGUCACGGGUAACGGAGAAUUAGGGUUCGAUUCCGGAGAAGGAGCCUGAGAAACGGCUACUACAACUACGGUUUGGCAGCAGGGAAGAAAAUUGGCCAAUCCUAAUUCAGGGAGCCAGUGACAAGAAAUAGCAAGCUGGGAAGCAUCGCUUCUACGGCAUUGAAAUGAGAACAGUGUUAAUCUCUUAGCGAGGAACAAUU
rnacentral:rRNA from 1 species